ACUCGAAUAGUCAAGUGGUCAAGACACCUUGAAAUUAUAUUGUUCACUGAACAACAAUAUUUCAAGGAGGUGGGGGUUCGAAUCCUCCUUUGGGUG